CGAACGCUGGCGGCGUGCCUAAUACAUGCAAGUAGAACGCUGAAGGAGGAGCUUGCUUCUCUGGAUGAGUUGCGAACGGGUGAGUAACGCGUAGGUAACCUGCCUGGUAGCGGGGGAUAACUAUUGGAAACGAUAGCUAAUACCGCAUAAUAGUAGAUGUUGCAUGACAUUUGCUUAAAAGGUGCAAUUGCAUCACUACCAGAUGGACCUGCGUUGUAUUAGCUAGUUGGUGAGGUAACGGCUCACCAAGGCGACGAUACAUAGCCGACCUGAGAGGGUGAUCGGCCACACUGGGACUGAGACACGGCCCAGACUCCUACGGGAGGCAGCAGUAGGGAAUCCUCGGCAAUGGACGGAAGUCUGACCGAGCAACGCCGCGUGAGUGAAGAAGGUUUUCGGAUCGUAAAGCUCUGUUGUAAGAGAAGAACGAGUGUGAGAGUGGAAAGUUCACACUGUGACGGUAUCUUACCAGAAAGGGACGGCUAACUACGUG
rnacentral:rRNA from 1 species